UACAGAGGUCUCGAGCGUUAAUCGGAAUUACUGGGCUUAAAGGGUGCGUAGGCGGCGUGGCAAGUUGGGUGUGAAAUCCCUCGGCUCAACCGAGGAACUGCGCUCAAUACUGCCAUGCUCGAGGGAGACAGAGGUGAGCGGAACUUAGGGUGGAGCGGUGAAAUGCGUUGAUAUCCUAAGGAACACCGGUAGCGAAAGCGGCUCACUGGGUCUUUUCUGACGCUGAGGCACGAAAGCUAGGGUAGCGAACGGG
rnacentral:rRNA from 1 species